rnacentral:lncRNA from 1 species
GGAAACAUUUUGUUUAUUAUCGAUCGUACGAAAGUAAUGAAAAGUCGUUGUUCUAGAUGCAAGAAGUUUUACAUAAGCUCUGUUCUUUUACAAGACGCGGACGCAGCGGCUUGCGGCCAAAAACUGAGCAUCAAAAUAAACAAAAAAAUGGUGGAAAAUCAAUGAAGCUGACGCUGCGAUUAUUUUUGCGAAGGUUUCCGGUGUCGUUUGUGACGCUGUUAAAAGUAGCGGCAGUUAGAUAGUCGCUGCGAUUAUUUUUGAUAGGCAAAAGCACCGCCACCGGUGUUGCUCUCCAGAUGCGUGAACAAAAAAAAGGUUAUACAUUUGGCCGCAAACCGCUGACGCAGCGUCUUGUAAAAGAACAGAGGAUACUACAAAUUUCUUACUACAAAGUAAUCGAC